UACGAAGGGGGCUAGCGUUGCUCGGAAUUACUGGGCGUAAAGGGAGCGUAGGCGGACAUUUAAGUCAGGGGUGAAAUCCCGAGGCUCAACCUCGGAACUGCCUUUGAUACUGGAUGUCUUGAGUGUGAGAGAGGUGAGUGGAACUCCGAGUGUAGAGGUGAAAUUCGUAGAUAUUCGGAAGAACACCAGUGGCGAAGGCGACUCACUGGCUCAUUACUGACGCUGAGGCUCGAAAGCGGGGGGAGCAAACAGG
rnacentral:rRNA from 1 species